rnacentral:tRNA from 1 species
GAUGUUAAGAUGGAUGCAACACACACCCAAAGACA